CGCAGGAAUGUGAAAGGCGCGCGCCCGCCGCCAUUUUCUCUCUUUCUUGGCAGACAGCGGCAGCGGCCGGAGCGGCGCCGGGGAGGCCAUGGCGGACUAUUCCACGGUGCCCCCUCCUGCCGCGGGCGCGCCCGGGGGAGGUGGCGGCGGGGCUGGAGGAGUGAACGAUGCCUUUAAAGAUGCGCUGCAGAGGGCUAGGCAGAUUGCGGCGAAAAUUGGAGGAGAUGCUGGCACAGCAAUGAAUUCAAACGACUACGGUUAUGGAGGGCAGAAAAGACCUCUUGAGGAUGGAGAUCAACCAGAUGCUAAGAAAGUUGCUCCCCAGAAUGACUCUUUUGGAAAUCAGCUACCACCGAUGCAUCAGCAGCAAAGGUCUGUGAUGACUGAGGAGUACAAAGUUCCAGAUGGGAUGGUUGGAUUCAUAAUUGGCAGAGGUGGAGAGCAGAUCUCACGCAUACAGCAAGAAUCUGGCUGUAAAAUACAGAUUGCACCUGAUAGUGGAGGCCUGCCUGAAAGAUCAUGUAUGCUAACUGGGACACCAGAGUCUGUUCAGUCAGCAAAAAGAUUGCUUGAUCAGAUAGUUGAAAAGGGAAGACCUGCACCUGGAUUUCAUCAUGGUGAUGGACCUGGAAAUGCAGUCCAAGAAAUUAUGAUUCCAGCAAGUAAAGCAGGAUUAGUUAUUGGGAAAGGUGGCGAGACAAUUAAACAAUUACAGGAGCGAGCAGGUGUCAAAAUGGUCAUGAUUCAAGAUGGCCCACAGAACACUGGUGCAGAUAAGCCCCUUAGGAUAACUGGAGACCCUUAUAAAGUUCAGCAAGCCAAGGAAAUGGUGCUGGAGUUAAUUCGUGAUCAAGGUGGCUUUAGAGAGGUGCGCAACGAAUAUGGGUCAAGAAUAGGAGGAAAUGAAGGGAUAGACGUUCCAAUACCACGAUUUGCUGUAGGUAUUGUAAUUGGAAGAAAUGGAGAGAUGAUUAAAAAGAUCCAGAAUGAUGCUGGUGUUAGGAUCCAGUUCAAGCCAGAUGAUGGAACAACUCCAGAUAGAAUAGCCCAGAUCACAGGGCCUCCUGACAGAUGUCAGCAUGCUGCAGAAAUUAUUACAGAUCUCCUUCGCAGUGUUCAGGCUGGUAACCCUGGUGGACCAGGACCUGGUGGUCGAGGAAGGGGUAGAGGCCAAGGCAACUGGAACAUGGGGCCUCCUGGUGGAUUACAAGAGUUCAAUUUUAUUGUCCCUACUGGCAAAACUGGAUUAAUCAUUGGAAAAGGUGGUGAAACUAUUAAAAGUAUAAGCCAACAGUCUGGUGCUAGAAUAGAACUUCAGAGAAAUCCUCCACCUAAUGCAGAUCCAAACAUGAAGAUGUUUACUAUCCGUGGAACACCCCAGCAAAUAGAUUAUGCACGACAACUUAUAGAAGAAAAGAUUGGAGGUCCAGUGAAUCCAUUGGGUCCACCUGUUCCCCAUGGUCCCCAUGGUGUUGUUCCUGGCCCGCAUGGACCUCCUGGGCCACCAGGUCCUGGUGCUCCCAUGGGACCAUAUAAUCCAGCUCCUUAUAACCCAGGCCCUCCUGGUCCUGCACCUCAUGGUCCUCCAGCUCCAUAUGCUCCACAGGGAUGGGGAAAUGCUUAUCCGCACUGGCAGCCGCCAAACCCUCCAGACCCAGGUAAGCCAGGAACAGAUCCCAAUUCAGCAGCGUGGGCAGCUUAUUAUGCUCACUAUUAUCAGCAGCAAGCACAGCCACCACCUGCAGCCCCUCCUGGUGGACCAGCUACAACCCAAACCAAUGGACAAGGAGAUCAGCCAAAUCCAGCACCAGCAGGGCAGGUUGACUAUACCAAGGCCUGGGAGGAGUACUACAAAAAAAUGGGUCAGGCUGUUCCUGCCCCUGCUGGGGCUCCUCCGGGCGGGCAGCCAGAUUACAGCGCAGCGUGGGCUGAGUACUACAGGCAGCAGGCAGCGUACUACGCUCAGACAAGUCCACAGGGAAUGCCACAGCAUCCUCCAGCACCACAGGGCCAAUAAUAAGAAGUGGACAAUACAGUAUUUGCUUCAUUGUGUGGGGGAAAAAACCUUUGUUAAAUGUAUGGAUGCAGACGCCUUGAUGAAGAUCUUAAAUUUGGUUUAAAAAAAUAGUGUUUUUGAAAAUGUACAAAAUAUCUAUCACUACUGAUAGGAGGUAAUAUUUCUGUGUAGAAAUGAAAAAAUGGUUUGUUUUUAGUAUUAGUGUAGAUGUACACAUUCCAGCAAAUGUAUUUGCAAUUAUGUGGUCAAUGCUUUGUGAUAUAAAUGUACUUUUUCAAUGUAUACUUUAUCACUUUUAAAAUGCCUGUUUUGUGCUUUACAAUAAAUAAUAUGAAACCUCCUGUGUCGGUAAGUUGGAUAUGUGGGUAUAUGCAGUAUUGAUUAUAGGAUUGAUUUGCAACGCUGAAUCAAGGUACCGCUACACAAAUGAGUUGGGUUUUUUUUUCCCCCCAUAAACCUUGUUGAGUUUAAAAACUUGUCAUUAGCAUGUUUUUCCCCUCUUGCAGAAUAGCUGUAGAUGGAGGAUCUCUUUCAUUCAUUGUAUUUUGCUGCCUAGCACCAGUAAUCUUGAUACCUUAAUUUUUUUUCUACUUGAUUAAAACUGCAUGUGUUUAAGAAGAUGAUCUUUUGGCAUACUUCCAUUGCAUUAACAGUGAAAUUUCCUUUUAUACAUGACCACUGUUUCAGACCUGUGCAGCUGCUAUAACAGAUAACUUUCGUUUUUAAUUGAAUACUUCAAAACUGUUCCUGCAUAACUAUUCUACAGAUUUUUUCAGACUAGUUAUAAAACUUACUUUAAGUGUAAUGUGCUUAAGCCUUCAGUUUAAAGUAGUCCACUUCAAAAUUCAGUGUAGAAAAGUCAAUGUGGUAAUGCAUAGUAGUUACAAAAGUUGCGUCUGUCCUUAAAACGCUGUUUUGUUUGAGUGAUGGGAGUGGUUGAGAGCUUCCUGCAGAGCAGAUAACUUCUCUUUUUGUAAAUAUUCAAGUAUUUGAAUCAACUGAUUAUUUUUUUAUAUAUACUUGAAACUUCUUAUUGCUCUAAUGCUCAUACUAAAAAGCUGAUUCUCUUGAAAUCCUGUGUUUGCUCUUUGCAUAUUUAUUGGCUCUUUGCAUAUAUUAGACUACAUGCACUACAGUCUGUCUUGCCAUUGUCUGUUGAAGUGCAGGUUUGAUCCAGCCAGUAUAGAACUAGCUCUAUAGGGGUGAGGAGGACUGUGCUGUGUAUCAUCCUUGAUUGUUCCUUCAAGGAGCAUUGCACUGUAAGUACAUCAGAAUGACAAAUUGAUGAACUGCAACAGUAUCUUUUUGUCAAUGUUCCACAUAAUGCAAAUGCUGUAUUUGUGUGAUAUUAUGUUGGAAUACAGUGCUGGUAUCUUAGGAAAUCAUAAUUGCUUCUUAAUUCAGAAACAUAGGUUUGCUUAUAUAUAUACAUACACAUAAUCUGAGUUUUGUGGGUAAGUAUUUCUGAAACUUUUAGCAAUAGCUAAAGAAAAUCAUGUUUCUGUUUAUCUAAGAGUUUCUUUCAUUAGUACUCAUGAGACAGCUGUCAUUCAGUGUUUUAAAGUAUGCAUAUCAUAACAUUGAAGUCUUUGGAACCACUUGUUAGACAGAGUUGUCUUUGUCUCCAGAUAGUUUGUGGAUAUGUAGUGAUAUAGGUAUGUUUUAAAUAAUUCUAUAACUGUUGAUUGCUUUAAAUUUUGGAACACCAUGUUGUUGCUUUGAGAAUAAAUUUUUUUAGGGUGGCUGCACAGAGAAGUAGAAGUUCAGGCUUGAAAACUGAAGUAGUUUUUUCAGGUAAUCAGCAAUGUAUGCAUUGUGCUGUAGAAAUAGAAGGAAUUAUUUUUCUCCUUUUAAAGCUAGGAAUUUGCUGGUAGCUUGAAGAAGGCUAGGACAGUAUUUGCUCUCUUUAGUGUAGGGUAUUAAGUUUAAUAGUUCAGGUAUUUUGCAUGGUAUUUUGUAGAUAACCUUACAGAAUGGUGCAUUUAUUAUGUACUAAAGUGAGCAAAAUUAAAUUCACUGGAUUCGUUUAUCAUUCGCAAAAUGGAGGCUGUUGAUUUUGAUUCAUUUAAGGUAUAAAAUCUUUAUUAAUUGCAAACAGUGCAAUUAUUUAUACUUCACAGUGCCUUCCCAGACCUUCCACCUUAGGUUCUGCUGCAAAAAAGCAACAGUGCUGAAGAUGCUGCAAGCACCAAAUCAUAGCUCAUAGAAUCAGGUCCUGAGAUAGUUACUACCAGUAAAGAGGAAUCCUUUGAGUGUAUGCCAUUGGUGAGCCGAUGAGCAUGGACCAUAGAAGGGCUCCAUGUAGAAGGUAAAAUUGGCAAAAGCAUAACAGAUUUGAAAUGUAUCCCAUACAUAAUGAUAUAGGGUAUAAUUUUUGUUUUGAUCACUUUUCAUUCUUUAAAGUAUUCUUUGUUUGACCAUUAAUGUUCCAUAAUCUGUUAAAGUUUUUUAAACUGUGAUUUAAUAAUAUAAACCAUCUAUUUUACUUUAUAUUCUUCUAAACAGUCAAGCUGAUUUUUGAACUGAAUUAAUAGUUGUGCUUCAGUUUCUCAAGCCACUUAGUAUUUCAUCUGUAGCUUAACAUGUAACUUCAUUUUUGACGUGAGAAGAGGGUAGGUGUGUACCAUUUGGAUUUUGAUACUGUGGAUUUAGUGUGGGGGUGAGUCAUUCGUUCACUUCCUUUUUACAUGGUACUUUUUCCUUCAACUGUUACUCCUGAAAUAUCUUGAACAGUCUUUCAGUUGCUAAUUUAGCCUGUGGGAGGAGAUAGAGAAGAAAAAGCCAGUGUAUUGGGAUGUUGCUAGUGUGUGGAAGGUGAGAUGUUCUUCCGUGUAGCAUUUGAGGUGUAUUGGCUUCCAGCUUUCUCACUGCAGGGCUUACUGGCAUGCUGGUUUGUGCAGAGCGUAGUGUUCCUUUUCUUUUUCAACUCUUGUCUCCAAACUCAGAGUUCCUGGGACAGCAGUAGGUUAUUGGAGUUACUCCAGUAGCCAGAAAGAUAACUGAACUUGCUUAGAAAUGCAGUGAACUUGUCCACAAAGUGUCUUGAAAUGUUUCCCGCUUACCCCACACAUCACCGCUUAGUGUCCCACUAUGAAUGUGAAGGGUAAGAAAAGUUUUAAAAGCAAGCUUAAUGUUCCAAGUAGGAAAAGAAUUUUCAUAUCACUUUCUGCAGCCUAUACUUUAUUAGGACAUUGAAUAAAAUACCAGGUGGAUACUCUUUAGUGUGGCUUAAUUUUAAGUCAUCUGUUUGACUUGUCAGGCAGACAGGAUCGUGAUUCACUUGCACAGACUGUCUUGAAGUACUUCAUCUUUAUACUAGUGAUAUUUUAUUGGAUGGUAGAAACUGUUUCUCCCCAUUUCUUUUCCAGAGUGAUUCUUAAGUUUUCCAUUGCAUGCUAAAAGCUUUUCCAUUUUGCUUUUUCUCUGGAAGUGGGGGGAGGAAGGGAGGACUGGGCUUUUCAGAAAGCAAACAAUUGACAGGAUUCCCUCUUCCCUAGUAAUGGCUUAUGAAACUCUUGUGUAUGCACAAAUAUUUCUCUUGCGUGCAUGUGAAAUGCCUUUUCGUCCUGAGAAAAGUGUUCUCUGCAGAAACUACCCGUGUGUAAACAGAAGAUUGGCUUUAAAAGGCAACUGUGAUGGGAACAGUGUCUUAGGGAGAUGCAGCUUGGACUUGAGGUAAAUUGAAUGCUUUACAAAAAUGUGGUUUUGAGCUUGCAUUGACAUUGUAUGUAAUAUGGGUACACAUUAACUGUAUAAUGGUUUUUGUAUGGUUUUUCUCAAUAAAUGUAAACUGAUGAAUAAUAA